rnacentral:lncRNA from 1 species
UAAAAAUGGUUCAAAGAUUACAUAUAACAUAGGCUUCUCCAUCAAUACCAAAAAUAAAAAACAUUAAAACCCCUAAACAUAAAAACAUAAAAAAACACAAAACAAACAACAUUCAACAAAACGUAUCAUCUUUUCAAGUGUCUGUCGUCCACCUUUUGGCAAGUGGCAAAAGAAUCAUCACAUUCUUCUGAAACCGUUACAAAUCAAGCUUUAGGCUUGAGAACCUUAACAGUCUCCCAGGUGAAGUCAGGAUCCUCACGACCAAAAUGUCCAUAAGCAGCAGUCUUCUGGUACCUAAAGUUUCCACCUCUCUUCAAAUCAAGGUUGAUAGCCAUCAUCCCUGGCCUGAAGUCAAAGUUCUCCUUGAUCAAAACAAGAAUAUCCUUAUCCGGAAUAGUCCCAGUCUUGUAAGUGUCCACAAACACUGAAAGAGGCUCAGCCACACCAAUAGCAUAAGACACCUGCACAAUGCACCUACGUGCAAGUCCUGAUGCCACAAUACUCUUAGCUGCUUGCCUAACAAUAUAAGCACCACUUCUGUCCACCUUAGUUGGAUCUUUCCCUGAGAAAGCACCACCUCCAUGAGCUCCCCAUCCUCCGUAUGUAUCAAUAAUAAUCUUCCUCCCGGUCAAACCCGCAUCUCCAUGGGGUCCACCAAUCACAAACCUCCCAGAUGGGUUCAAGUGAAAGAUGGUGUUGUCAUCAAGAUACUGAGCUGGGAUCACAGGCUUAAUCACAUGCUCCUUAAGAUCAGCAGCAAUCUGGUCGUUGGUAACAGUCUCAUCAUGUUGAGUUGAGAUCAACACAGUGUGGACCCUGGUUGGGACCAUGGCACCGUUGUCGUUAUGGUACUCAACGGUGACCUGGGUCUUGCCAUCGGGUCUGAGCCAUGGGCAGGUGUUGUUCUUUCUGACCUCAGUCAGCUUAGCACCAAGCUUGGUUGCAAGGACAUGGGUGAGUGGCAUGAGCUCUGGGGUUUCAUCGGUGGCAUACCCGAACAUGUGACCUUGGUCACCAGCACCAAUGUCUUCUGGCUUCUUGGUGAGAUGACCGUGGACACCUUGGGCAAUGUCGGGGCUUUGUUGCUCGAUGUUGACCAACACCUUGCAGUUGUCAGCAUCAAGACCGACAUCAGCGGAGGUGAAUCCGAUUUCUCUGCAUGUGUCACGGACGAUCUUUUCGUAGUCCACGGUAGCUUUGGUGGUGAUCUCACCGAAAACCAUCACCAUGUUGGUCUUGGUGCAAGUCUCACAGGCGACCUUGCUUUCAGGGUCUUGUUCUAGGCAGGCGUCCAAGAUGGCAUCUGAGACUUGGUCGCAGAGUUUGUCUGGGUGUCCUUCGUUGACAGACUCGGAUGUGAAUAGGAAGGUCUCCAUCUCUUAACUGAAACAAGCAAGAUAGAAAAGAAUUUAGUGUGGGAGAAGUUAUCAAU